rnacentral:lncRNA from 1 species
CCGAACCGGGUCCCCGAAGCGGACCCCACCACGCGCUCACCGUUUCAUUACCUCAGACUCGUAGUCAUCAGCCGGAUAAGACAUGGCUACGGCGCUCCAGAAGCCCGUGGAAGAGAGCGGAAGAAGUAUUCCGCGCCUGCUCGGGCCGGACCGGAAGUCCCGCCCAAUUUAACCUGCCCGGAAGCCUUUCCGGGCUCGCUGGGGGACCGAUAGAGCUCUGUUUGGAAGGACGAAUUUCCCAAACUAUCGGAGUUCCUUCCUCCCCACAAAAACAGACAUUUCAAAGGAUAUUAUUCUGGGAUGUUGGUGUACGCGCAGAAAUAGGCGCCGGCAGGAGAUAAAGGGGAAACCCGACCUGUUCGCUCACGUCUGCGGUCUCAUGGAUGGCGGAGGCAGGAGGAUCGCAGCAAGUUCGAGGGUAACCUGAGUUAUUUCCAGGCCAAUAUGAUUAUAGAGCGAGGUCCUAAAAACAGAACAACGGAAAA